rnacentral:lncRNA from 1 species
AUGGGAGCAAAUUGGCUUGCUGGCCAUUCUCUGAAAAUGCCGCCUUCCAUGUUUGUGUCUUUGCCCAGGUGGAACUUCAUGGCUAGAACGUUCUCCCUCUUCCACCCUUUUCUGAGCCUCCAAUGGACCAGGGACAAGUGAAAUGGAUCCAGGCACAGAUGGCUGAGUGACUGGUGAGUUCUCAGCCUGCUGCCCCAUCACCAACAUCCAGCCCCUUUUUAACAAUGAGCUAGAUGGAGCAGAAAAUAAUAUUAGCCUUCAAGAACAGCAUGUCCACAUUCCUGGUCCCAUAAAACUAAUCAAUGGAAAACAAUUUUCCUGAGCUGAGGCUGAGCUCAUUUUAUGACAAUAACUAGUGAAGCUAAGGGGAAGAAGAGUGCCCUUUUAGUUCUUUUCCUUUGGUGAAUAACUUCUCUACAAACACCUGGUGAAUCCACAGCUGUGGGAACCUGGAUAUAAAGAACAUGAGGGAAACAAGGGUGAGAUCCAUUCUUCUUCUGAACCCUCCCUCAACAGGGUUAAGGUAAGUUAAUCCUUAAGUGAUCAUCUUUGAUGGCAUGUUUUAAAACACAUCAUUU